AUCCAGCUGACGAGUCCCAAGUGGAACGAAACCCGCGUCCUGGAU
rfam:Schistosoma mansoni strain Puerto Rico chromosome 7, complete genome